GACGAACGCUGGCGGCGCGCUUAAUACAUGCAAGUCGAGCGAGAACUAGGGCUUCAGCCCUGGGGACAGCGGCGAACGGGUGAGUAACACGUGGGUAAUCAACCCCCGACACCGGGAUAGCCCAGGGAAACUUGGAUUAAUACCGGAUGCCCCAUCUGGCUUUCGAGCCGGCUGGAAAAGGGUAGCUUCGGCCUCCGGUCGGGGACGAGCCCGGGGCGGAUUAGCUUGUUGGUGAGGUAAAGGCUCACCAAGGCGACGAUCCGUAGCUGGUCUGAGAGGACGAUCAGCCACACUGGGACUGAGACACGGCCCAGACUCCUACGGGAGGCAGCAGUAGGGAAUCUUGCGCAAUGGGCGAAAGCCUGACGCAGCGACGCCGCGUGAGGGAAGAAGGCCUUCGGGUUGUAAACCUCUUUCAGGAGGGACGAAGCCACUCGGGUUAAUAGCCUAGAGGGUGACGGUACCUCCAGAAGAAGCCCCGGCUAACUACGUGCCAGCAGCCGCGGUAA
rnacentral:rRNA from 1 species